rnacentral:tRNA from 1 species
GGCCCCGUGGCGAAAUCGGUAGACGCAGCGGUCUUGAAAACCGCCUCCUGGCAGGGAUUGUCGGUUCGAAUCCGACCGGGGCCACCA